UUCUUGCAGUGGAUCGCAAUCAUAUUGUCGAUAGUGUUAAUAUGUCCACACCAUUCUGGGAACCAUUUGGAUAUGGUUUGGGCAGUGAAACACCAUCACAUCCUUCGAAGACUCCACUUCGUACAUUCAUGACACCCAUGAGAGAUCCUGCAACACCUAUCCAUGAUGGCAUGAGGACGCUGAUGCGUGACAGAGCAUGGAAUCCAAUGAGUCCACCUAGG